GGGAUGGGGUGAUGUGGGGAUGGUGUGACAUGGGGACAUGGGGAUGGGGUGACACACAGGCAGGGGACGUGGGGACAUGGGGACAUGGGGAUGGGGUGACGUGGGGAGGGAGUGACACAAACAGGCAGGGGACACGGGGACAGGGUGACACAGACAAGCAGGGGACAUGGGGAUGGGGUGACGUGGGGACAGGGUGACAUGAGGACCCAGGGGUGACACCAGGACAGGGUGACAUGAGGUGACACAAGGACAGGGUGACACGAGGACCCAGGGGUGACACGAGGUGACACAAAUGUGACACUCACUGGUGGGAAAUCGAUGAGCUUCUGGAAGGCGCGAAUGUAGAGCUCGUGCUGCGGGGUGACAAGAGUCACCAAGUGUCACCAAACGUCACCAAGUGUCACCAAAUGCCACCAAGAGUCACCACGUGUCCCCACAGUGCCCCCCCCAUGGUCCUCCCACAGCCACCUCAUUCCCCCCAGGAUGUCCUCACCCCCAGCCACGUCCUUCUGUCACCUUCGUGCCCCUAUGUCCCCAAAGCCACCCCCUCCCCAAAGCCACCAAUGUCCCCAAAGCCCCCAGUGUCCCCUCCUGGUGCCCCCAACACCCACCAUGACCCCCAUCCAACCCCCCACCCACCCACUCGGUGCCACCCCAACGCAGCCACCCUGUCCCCAAAGUGCCACCACCUCCCCAAAGCCACCAAUGUCCCCAAAGCCACCAAUGUGGCCACCCUGUCCCCAAAAUGCCACCACCUCCCCAA
rnacentral:lncRNA from 1 species